UGGUGGAGUGAUUUGUCUGGUUAAUUCCGUUAACGAACGAGACCUCAGCCUGCUAAAUAGUCGGGCGAACAUUCGUGUUCGUGCUACGACUUCUUAGAGGGACUGUCUGUUUCUAGCAGAAGGAAGUUUGAGGCAAUAACA
rnacentral:rRNA from 1 species